rnacentral:rRNA from 1 species
CGCGUAGGCGGCCUUCUAAGUCGAACGUGAAAUCCCCGGGCUCAACCCGGGAACUGCGUCCGAUACUGGAAGGCUUGAAUCCGGGAGAGGGAUGCGGAAUUCCAGGUGUAGCGGUGAAAUGCGUAGGUAUCUGGAGGAACACCGGUGGCGAAGGCGGCAUCCUGGACCGGCAUUGACGCUGAGGCGCGAAAGCCAGGGGAGCAAACG